GUAGGUGGCAGAGUAUGUCUGUAGUGAAAGCGUGUGGCUCAACCAUAUACACAUUACAGAAACUGCUCAGCUAGAGGGCGAGAGAGGUUACUAGAAUUCCUAGUGUAGGAGUGAAAUCCGUAGAUAUUAGGAGGAAUACCGAUGGCGUAGGCAGGUAACUGGCUCGUCCCUGACACUAAGGCACGAAAGCGUGGGGAGCAAACGGGAUUAGAUACCCCGGUAGUCCACGCUGUAAACGAUGGAUGCUAGCUGUAAGAGGUAUCGACCCCUCUUGUAGCGAAGCUAACGCGUUAAGCAUCCCGCCUGUGGAGUACGGUCGCAAGACUAAAUCAUAAAGGAAUUGACGGGGACCCGCACAAGCGGUGGAGCGUGUUGUUUAAUUCGAUGGUAAACGAAGAACCUUACCCAGGUUUGACAUCCUUGGAAUUUUGCCGAAAGGCGAGAGUGCUUUAUUGAGCCAAGUGACAGGUGUUGCAUGGCCGUCGUCAGCUCGUGUCGUGAGAUGUUUGGUUAAGUCCAUCAACGAGCGCAACCCUUAUAGUCUGUUGUAUUUUUCAGGCUAGACUGCCCCGGUAACGGGGAGGAAGGAGGGGAUGAUGUCAGGUCAGUAUUACACUUACAUCUGGGGCUACAAACACGCUACAAUGGCCGGUACAAAGGGCAGCCAAGUCGCGAGACGGAGCAAAUCCCAUCAAAGCCGGUCCCAGUUCAGAUUGCAGGCUGAAACUCGCCUGCAUGAAGUCGGAAUCGCUAGUAACGGUAGGUCAGCUAUACUACCGUGAAUACGUUCCCGGGUCUUGUACACACCGCCCGUCAAACCAUGAAAGUCACCAAUACCUGACGUGUUGCCUUCGCGCAGCCCUAAGGUAGGGGGGAUGAUUGGGGUU
rnacentral:rRNA from 1 species